rnacentral:lncRNA from 10 species
AAAAGGCGGACGCACCCUGAUCAUCUGUCCUGUGACGGGCUCAGCCAUUGGAUCGCGAAUCUGCGUUCGCGCAUGCGUGGUCCUAGAGCUACGGUGACACUUCGCGUGCGGUGUAGGCGCAUCUUCGCUCUGUUGGCCGUGGCUUUAGUAAGCACACACCUGCCUGCUACUCUGGUUAUCGUGGCGACGGCAGGUCUGGAUUGCCAGACAGGUUUUUCUUUUUACCUCGAGGCUUUCUCUGAAGGGAGUCGGAGCAUUUAAAAGGCGGCCUCAAGGUGGAUUGAGUCGGGGGAGGAUUAGCAGUAUUUGCUUAGGUUGUAAAACCGCGACUUUAUCUAAUAAAUCGCCAUUCAAGGUGCAAAUACAAACUUGGAACAGAGAUGUAAAUGAAUUCCUCAAGGUCAGAGACUGUUUUUAUUCAUUUCUACAUCUCCAACACCUGGCAAAGUGCCUCGGCCAUAAAAGAUAAUCUGCCUCUGAAACCUUCCGUGGGCACAGAAAUUUCUGCAAGGAAAGCAUCAGCAACCAGAAUAAUUUGCCCUCAUCCUGGCAGCCCUGCUCUACCACAUCUGCCUAUCCAUAGUGAAAGACACCAUAUUUUUAAGAAAAUAUGAAAUGCAGAGAUGAAAACUAUUUUGGAGCAAAUGAUUUUAAAUAAAAAGGUUGCAUACUCAUUUUAAAUGAUUUUAAUUUUCUGAAUAUUAUGUUCCAACUCAAGAUAUUGCACAAUGCUUUAAUAUUACACUUGUUAUUUUUCUCACACUAGUGAGAUUUUGAUAAACAUAGUUGACUUUGGAAGUAACAGAGAAUGUUUUCAUUGGUUAAAUAAUUUCAAUGACCUGUGAGGAACUGAAAGCAAGCUAUUACAUUCAUAUAAAAGAUAAGUACAUAUCCAUAAAUUCACUUGGAUUCAAUGAAAAAUAAUAAACUUCUCGUGUACUUAAUAAAACUUAAAAGGAAACAAAAUUUUAAAUGGUGCAAAAAUAGAAUGUAUUUCUUAAAGUUUUGAAAACACUUAGACCUAAAAGAAUUCUAAGAAUAUCUGGCCACAUUAUAAGCCUCUUAUUUGUAAAAGCUAACACUUGAUAAUUUUAAAACAAAAUCUAGAUUAAAUAAAUAUAGUUCUGCAUUAUUAAAGUAACAAAAUCUGUGAUGGUAAGGUAAAAUUUCCCUAAAUAAUAUAAACAAAAAACAACACCGGAAAGCAAAUGUAUCACGUUAUGGCAUCGAUAAACAUUUCUGUUCAAAUGUGUGGAUCUACAGCAUUUUCUCUAGGUAACACACACAGUUGUUAUCACAUUAGUAUGGAAUAAAUGCUGAAAAAUUAAGAAAUACUAAUGGUUACUAGGCCAAAGUCAAUUCCAAAAAACUCAAUUCUUAUAAACUUUUAUUAUAGUGAUUUUUACUGUAUUACAACACUUUUUUUCUCUUUUUCCUUUGCUUUGUGAUUCAUAUUUUUAGCAGAGGCAUAGCACUGGAGAUAAAGAAGGGGAAAUAUGCUUCAGGUGCCAGUUGCGUUUUUUAACUUCCAUUUUGCACUUUUGCUAUUUUUAGACUUGUUGCUCAUCAGAUUCAUUAACACACCCUACUUUUGCUAUGUUUUUUUCCUUCAUUUCCAGGAAAACUCAACCACAGCAUUAGGAGAAAAGGCAAAAACUUCACAUUGCCUGAUACACCACUUAUUCUUGCUCUGCCACUGAUUUGUAGUAGCUGUGUAUUACUGCAGUAGCGCUGUUGUCUCUAUUAAUGCUUAGAGAUUCCACACCAUGAAUUUUUUUAUGGUCAUCCUAAGAUACAAUGAAUUCUUCACAUUUUGUGAAAAUUAUAGGCAUCUGACAGCUGGUGUAUUUAUCUACCAUCUUCAUCAAACUCGAAUAUUUUAUAAAAUACUUGAGAAAAGAUCUCUACCAAAGAUACCCUCAUGAAACACUCUCUUAUCAAAAAGAAAAGGGUAAAAUUAUGGAUUAGUUCAAUUGUACCUUGAACUAGAAACACUGAUUAUGAUUAUAUUUCAGAAAACAGUUAUAAUUAUUUCAUUAAAAAUGAUUCCCAUUUAGAAUGAUGACUGGAGACUUAUUUACAAGAAAAGAUAGAGAAAUUUUAUGAGCCUAGGAUUGUGCCAGGAUUGCCUGUGAGGGCAGUUUUUUCAAUUGCAUAUGCAUGUUGAGAUGGGACUAUUUAUGAUCUUAUUUCCUUAUUCAUUAGAGAAGGAGAUGACCAGUGUUUUCUGGGGGUUUUUUGGUUAAUUUUGCAUAUUCUCUUAUUUCAAAAUUAAUCUAAUUAAUUUUAUUCAUGUGUCACUCAGAUUGCAUUUGGGUUUAAACAGAGGACUUAAUCAUAGCAUGGACAGAAAAGGCUCACCAUCUAUCUAAAUGACUCUGAUUGCACCAUCAUCCUCAUUGUUCUUGUGGAGUCUCGCUCUGUCGCCCAGGCUGGGGUGGAGUGACGCGAUCUCGGCUCACCGCAAGCUCCGCCUCCCGGGUUCACGCCAUUCUCCUGUCUCAGCCUCCCCAGUAGCUGGGACUACAGGCGUCCACCACCACGCCCGGCUAAUUUUUUGUACUUUUAGUAGAGACGGGUUUCACCGUGUCAGCCAGGAUGGUCUCGAUCUCCUGACCUCGUGAUCUGCCCGCCUCAGCCUCCC